rnacentral:lncRNA from 1 species
GAAAUCAUAGGAGAAAUUCAUUGAAAUACGCCAAUGAAGGAGAAGAAGAAGAGAAGGUAGUUUGUCACCAUGGAAGUGCAAAGAGUGUAAAUGUAAUAACGCAGUUCUGUAUCUCAGUGUUGUUCGAAUUGGAAGUAAGGUGCAAUUUGUCACUCAUUGUCAUAAUUCAAAUUGAACUGUCAACAAGCCAUUGAAGUUCUGCAGAUGUCACUCAUUGAACAGUUCAUCCAUGUACUUAAUGGUUUGAAUUUAGCCUUUACAUCUAUGAACCAAAGUUUUCUUGAUUUAACUUGUGCAGGGUAACACUUCAGAACUGAUCAAGGUGGGUGCCUAUAUGCGAUGAAACAAAAUUCCAUGAGGACUUAAUGUGGCUCGAGCAGAGGGAGGUAAUGUUGUUGACUUGCCUUGUAAAUUCUUUAAAAUUAAUAUAUACACAGUCUCAAAGCCAGUUAUAAAAUAUGUGUUUAUGCAACUAUGGAAUUGUUUUGUUUUUCAAGUUUGUUAAGUUUGUAAAAAUCAUAUAUUUAGUCCUUUCAAUUCUGCAGUGGAUUGUUCUUUCCUUUACAUUUUGUUGUUGGUAUUAUUAUUUGUUUUGGUGGUUCCUAACUUAAAAUUUGUAGAUGAAAUACCACGGAAUAUGGAACUCACAGAGUUUAGGUUACUGUAACGAUUAUAUCAAUACAAAAAGAAGAAACUACAACACUGAAACUUUCUACAAGUUUUGAACAAAAGAAGCAACAUAUUUCACACUUGAGAGAGAACAUCCACCAUGCUUGGAUGUGGCUUACACAUAGCAACCAAGGGAUUAGCCUUAGGCAUGAUAACCCCCGUGUUAGCUUCUUCCAUUUCCACUUGCUCUUGCCCAACUUUUUCCCACUCAAAGCACUGAAUGAGUGUACCCAAAGCCAAUGUCACCACACGUAGAGCCAAGCCAGCACCAGGGCACCCUCUUCUUCCCACUCCAAAUGGCAUGAAUUUGAACCCCAUUUCCCUUUCACUUUGUACACCUUCAAACCUCUCAGGCAUGAAUUUAGUUGGCUCUACCCACACCUUGGGGUCCCUAUGAAUGGCCCCAACAUUUGUGAACAAUAUUGUUCCACGUGGGAUAUUAUAUCUUCCAACUGUGCACUCUUUUGAUGAAGAAUGGGGCACUAGAAGUGGUGCUGCUGGAUACAACCUCAGUGUCUCAUUGAUGACACAAUGGAGGUAGGGAAGCUUCACGAGAUCAUAGUCGUCUAGUAAGCGGCCUUGGACAUUGUGGUUGAUUUCUGAGCGCGCUUUUUGGAGUACAUCUGGAUGGUUGAGUAGAAGUGACAUAGUCCAUUCCAACGUCAAGCUUGUUGUGUGUGUUCCGGCUGUGAACAUUGUCUAUCCACAAAAAAGAAACAAGCAUGUUAGCUAGGAAUCAGAUGUGUGGCAUCCAAGUAUUAAUGUCUGGUUCUUAAAAUACUUGACUUUGGUGGAGUUUCAGAGAGAGGCACUCCACAAACUUGCAUGGGGGAGGAAUGGAGGGCCCAACAUUUUUUUGUACCUAUCUCUCUUCGUUUAUAGGGAAUAUAAAUAUCCUGCUAUAGGAAUUAAUUUCACUUAUGAUUUGCCUAAUACAUUCAAAAUUUGAGAAGUCACUCAUGAGCAAAUCAGUUAGAGUGUUUGGAAGCAUCUGAUUGUGAUGAGUAUUGAUGCCAGACUUAAUUUCCUACCUAAAAAAGAGCUAACCUCUUCUUAGUUAUACUUGUUCAGCCAGCAAUAUUUAAGAACUAAAGAAGCAGAUGAUAGUUCAAUUUUGUUCUGGUAUUGGGCAGUUUGAUUAAUACCUUGCAAAUUGGAGUUGGAACCUUGGUUCCAGCUUCAGUUCGAUCAUUUUUCAGAGGAGCUGGGUAUUUAUGGUUUGGAACCUUUAACAUCAGGAAUGGAGUAGGAAGUGUGAACGAACAUUAACGACCUGCAUGUUCCAAAUUCCAAUUAGUAUACAGUAUGAACUCUUACCAAUAUAAUUCCCUUGAUGACAUUAUCGGAGUACUGCUCAGGUUCUGCUUCUUGGAUGGACAAGAGGGUUUCAAUUAUGGUUGUUUUCUUCUUAUCUUCUGCUAGGGUUGUAGUUGAAGAAAUAGUCUUCUUCUUUCGAAACUCGUCUAUCAAAUUCUGUAAAAACGAGUCUCUCCUUUUGUGCAACUUGAUCAUGUACUUCUUUUCUCUAUAUAGUCCAAUCCAGCUCAAAAUAGGCAAAAAGUCUCCCAAAUCUAAUAGCAUACUACUUGGAGCAAAUAUAUCUUUCAGAAGAACAUAAAGCCGCUUCUGUUCAUCCAAGUCCAGAAACUCUUCGAAACAUCGUUUCCCAGCUACUAACAUCAUCAUAAUAUUAAACAUAAGUUGAGAAAAUAUGAACUUCGAAUCAAAAUGUUGUAAUCCACCAUUGGAUCUUCGAAACAAACUAUUAACCAGAUGAUGAAUUUCUUCUUUCCGGAUCCUUGCAGACAUUUGUAGACUCUUAGCUGAGAAUAUCUCAAUCGUAGUUAUGCGCCGCAUGUUCCGCCAAUGGUAACCAUAUGGGGACGAAGCAAGUAUGGUGUAAUUGUAGCUAAGAUGGUCUCCAGCAAUCGAAAAUGGACGGUUUGCAAAGAUAAUAUCAUUCUUGGUGAAGCAUUCUUCUACAAGGGAUAGGGAGGAGAUAACUAGGAUUGGGCGUGAGCCGAACUGUAGGAAUAGGAUUGGUCCAUACCGGUUCGAUAGAGUCUGUAGUGUUCUGUUGAGGGGCUUCCUGAAGAGGUGAAUAUGGCCUAGGAUUGGAAGCGCAAAUGGGCUUGGUGGGAGUUUCUUAUUUGUUUGUGAAAAAACCUUGAGGACGAAGAGGAUGAACAAGGUGAGCAAGAAAUAGUAGAGAAACGCCAUAGUAAUUAGUAAUGCAAAUCAACCAACGUGGACUAGUUGAUAUACAAAAGAGUACAGUCUUGAUAAACAUAGACUCUUAAAGAGGCUGAAAGAGACUUACAUAAGCAAGUAUGUCAUUUUGCACCCUUAUUCAGGGUAGAUAAGGCUUCUGCAGUAAGUGGAUUACAUUUGUCCCUGCAAUGUGCAGCGAAGUUGGAAGCAAAUUUCAGAUUGAACUUCUCUGUUGUAUUUUUAGAAGCCACGACAUUAACGAGGUGAUGUCCCUAUCUCAUGGUAGAUGUUACUAGUUAUGUGUGGAUAAUACCCUCAGAAUUUUGCGAAAAAUUUCAGUGAUGUAAAAAUAGAAUGAGAAUGCAUAGUGCAUAGUGCAUACCACAAGCCCUCACUGCGAGUAUAUCAUAGUCAUACAGUGACAUCAUAUGGUGGAGCUGAAGGAGUGUGGACAGGGAUAUGAAGCCUCUUUGAAGGAAUGAAAACCACUGAGAGUCCAACCGAGAUUCCAUUGUACCUCUACCAUAUGUACGCACUUACCUUGACCCCUUAAAGAUAAACAUGAUAUCAAAAUGAACUGUGCUAAAUUUGUCAUUUGAGAUCUGUCCACAUUUCCUCUAUGAAUAAAGAUAAGCAUCUGAAUCUGAGGGCUUGUGGAACUAGAUAACAAAUCAUUUUGUUCUUUGAUAAAAGCUUUGUUUGUUUAUACCUAAUGAAACAUGUGGGUAGUGUUAUGUCUGCAACUCUCAAUAGUGUUCUGUGUGUAGAGGCUUGUGUUCAUUACUGUGGGCAGUUUUGUAUAUAAAGAUUGUCAGAUAAAUAUUCUGUGUACCUGUCAUCAUAUAUCCACAUUUUCUCAAUGCAGAAACAUUACCAUUUCAAUCUUGGAGACUUCUGAAUAUGAAAGCUUCAGCCAAAAGGCCCACUUUGUAAUUACUGCCACCAAUGGCGACAUACCAGUUCAGGUACGCGAUAUAGGGAAAACAGGAUUGUAAAGUUUAUGGAUCCAGCGUGGAGAAUAUAUUUCUUUAUCCUCAGAUCUGUGAUUUGAUGAACUGAUAGGUAAUAAUUUGUUACUGUAGGUACUUGUUAAAAAAGAAUUGUUACUGUAGGUUGAAGUCGCAGCCACAGUUUAUUUUUCCAAACUUUGGACGUUUACAUUAGUAGGAAUAUAUUGUUUUUGUUACAUUCUGUACUUAAUAUUACCAAAUUAGACUAGUAAUGCCAACAAAAGAAAAGGUUUUUUGUAUCCAUUUAUGAAAUUCAUAAAAAUAAAUACAGGAUUUGUUGUUGGUGGGAUUGGUUAUGUGGACCAAAAAAUCUUGGACACUAAUAACUCCACUUGAGGAAGAAUGUCUCUGGUUGAUGAAAACCAUACAAUUUGGAUCACAUUUUACCAUGGCUUAACAAGAUACGCAUAUGACAAAAACCCAUGCAAAAUAGAGGCCCACGACAAGGUGAGCGUAGAUAAUGACAUACCUUAAUAAUGUUUCACAUAAUCACAUGCACACUCUAGCAUUAAUUAGGCUCACUUCUAACCACUAAUUUCACUAACUUUAGAAUCUGUAGAUGAAAUACCAUGGAAUAUGAAACUCACAGCGUUUAGGUUAGUGCAACAAUUAUAUCAACACAGAAAGAAGAAACUACAACACUGAAACUUUCUACAAGUUUUGAACAAAAGAAGCAACAUAUUUCACACUUGAGAGAGCACAUUCACCAUGCUUGGAUGUGGCUUACACAUAGCAACCAAGGGAUUAGCCUUAGGCAUGGUAACCCCAGUGUUAGCUUCUUCCAUGUCCACUUGCUCUUGCCCAACUCUUUCCCAAUCAAAGCACUGAAUGAGUGUACCCAAAGCCAAUGUCACCACACGUAGAGCCAAGCCAGCACCAGGGCACCCUCUUCUCCCCACUCCAAAUGGCAUGAAUUUGAAUCCCAUUUCCCUUUCACUUUGUACACCUUCAAACCUCUCAGGCAUGAAUUUAGUUGGCUCUACCCACACCUUGGGGUCCCUAUGAAUGGCCCCAACAUUUGCAAACAAUAUUGUUCCACGUGGGAUACUAUAUCCUCCAACUGUGCACUGUUUUGAUGAAGAGUGUGGUACUAGAAGUGGUGCUGCUGGAUACAACCUCAGUGUCUCAUUGAUGACGCAAUGGAGGUAGGGAAGCUUCACGAGAUCAUAGUCGUCUAGUAAGCGGCCUUGGACAUUGUGGUUGAUUUCUGAGCGCACUUUUUGUAGUACAUCUGGAUGGUUGAGUAGAAGUGACAUAGCCCAUUCCAAGGUCAAGCUUGUUGUGUCUGUUCCGGCUGUAAACAUUGUCUAUCCACAAAAUGAACCAGAAUUUUAGAAAUCAGAUGCGUGGCAUGAAAGUAUUAAUUUCUGGUUCUUAAAAUAUUUUACUUUGGCCCCAACAUAUUUUGUACCUAUCUCUCUUCGUUCGUUUAUAGGGAAUCCUGCUAUAGGGAUUACUUUUCUUUUGCGAUUUGCCUAAUACAUUCAAGUUCUGAGAAGUCACUCAUGAGCAAAUCAGUUGGAGUGUUUGGACAUAUCUGAGUGUGAUAUUUAUUGACACCAGACCUAAGCCUACCUAAAAUAGAGCUAACCUCUUCUUAAUUUCAUGUUUUCAACUUAACCUCUUCUUAAUUUCAUGUUUUCAGCCUUCAGGAUUUAAAAAAGAUCUGGGAGCAAUACUUGGGAACAAUAGAAGCAGAUGAUAGUUAAUUUUGUUCUGGUAUUGGGUAGUUUGAUUGAUACCCUGCAAAUUGGAGUUGGAACCUUGGUUCCAGCUUCAAUUCGAUCAUUUUUGGAACUGAUCUAUCACAGGACAGGAAGUUGGGUAUUUAUGGUUUGAAACCUUUAACAUCAGGAACGGAGUGGGAAGUGGGAAGUGGGAAGUGGGAACUGAACAUUAACAACCUACAUAUUCCAAUUCCAUUUAGUAUACUGUAUGAAUUUAGUUCUUACCAAUAUAAUUCCUUUGAUGAAAUUAUCAGAGUACUGCUCAGGUUCGGCUUCUUGGAUGGACAAGAGGGCAUCGAUUAUGGUUGUUUUCUUCAUAUCUUCUGCUAGGGUAGUAGUUGAAGACUCGGUCUUCUUCCUCCGAAACUCGUUUAUCAAAUUCUGUGAAAACGAGUCUCUCCUUUGGUGCAACUUGAUAAUGCCCUUGUCUUCUUUAUAUAGUCCAAUCCACCUCAAAAUAGGCAAAAAGUCUCCCCAAUCUAAUAGCAUAAUUGGAACAAAUGUGUUUUUUAGAAGAACAUGAAUCCUCUUUUGUUCAUCCAAGUCCAUGAACUCUUCGAAACAUCGUUUUCCAGCUACCAACCUCAUCAUAAUAUUAAACAUAAGUUGAGAAAACAUGAACUUCAAAUCAAAAUGUUGUGAUCCACCAUUGAAUCUUCGAAACAAACUAUUAACCAGACGAUGAAUUUCUUCUUUACGGAUCUUUGCAGACAUUUGUAGACUCUUAGCUGAGAAUAUCUCAAUUGUAGUUAUGCGCCGCAUGUUCCGCCAAUGGUCCCCAUAUGGGGACGAAGCAAGUACGGUGUAAUUGUAGCUGAGAUGGUCUCCAGCAAUUGAAAAUGGACGGUUUGCAAAGAUAAUAUCAUUCUUGGUGAAGCAUUCUUCUACAAGGGAUAGGGAAGAGAUAACUAGGAUUGGGCGUGAGCCGAACUGUAGGAAUAGGAUUGGUCCAUAUCGGUUCGACAGAGUCUGUAGUGUUCUGUUGAGGGGUUUCUUGAAGAGGUGAAUAUGGCCUAGGAUUGGAAGCGCAAAUGGGCUUGGUGGGAGGUUCUUAUUUCUUUGUGAAAAAACCUUGAGGAUGAAGAGGAUGAACAAGGUGAGCAAGAAAUAGUAGAGAAACGCCAUAGUAAUUAGUAAUGCAAAAUUGCAAAUCAACCGACGUGGACUAGUUGAUAUACAAGAGAGUACAGUCUUUAUAAACAAAGACUCUGAAAGAGGUUGAAAGGGAAUUACAUAAGCAAGUAUGUCAUUUUUGCACCCUUAUUUGACUAGUUGAUAUACAAGAGAGUACAGUCUUUAUAAACAAAGACUCUGAAAGAGGUUGAAAGGGACUUACAUAAGCAAGUAUGUCAUUUUUGCACCCUUAUUUGUUCUGGGAAGAUAAGGCUUCUGCAGUGAGUGGACUAGAUUUGUCCCUGGAAUGACAAUGUGCAGCGAAGUUGGAAGCAAAAUUCAGAUUGAACUUCUCUGUUCUAUUUUUAGAAACCACAACAUUAAAGUGGUGAUGUCCCUAUCACAUGGUACAGUAGAUGUUAGUAGUAAUCUGUGGAUAAUAUCCGCAGAAUUUUGCAGAAAGAUUUCAGCGAUGUAAAAAUAUAUUGAGAAUGCAUACCACAAGUCGUCAUUGCGAGUAUGAUAUUUCCAUACAAUGGCGUCCACUGGUGGAGCCGAUGGAGUGUGGGCUGGGAUAUGGAGACCCUUUGAAGGAAUGAAAACCACUUAGAUUCCAACUGCGAUACCCUUGUAUUCCUACGGCCCUACCAUAUGUAUGCACAUACCUUGAUCCCUUAAAAUGAACUGUACUAAUUUUGUCAUUUGGGCAUCUGUUCACAUGUUCUCUAUGAAUAAAGAUAAACAUCCGAACCCGAGGGCUUGUGGAACUAGACAACAAAUCAUUUCGUUCUUUGGUAAAAGCUUUGUUUGUUUAUACCGAAUGAUACAUGUGGGUAGUUUUAUGUCAGAAACUCGCAAUAAUGUCCUGUGGGUUCAUUACUCUGAGCAGUUUUGUAUGUAAAGAUUGUCAGAUAAAUAUUCUGUGUACGUGUCAUAAUCUAUUCACAUUUUCUCAAUGCAGAAACAUUACCAGUUUCACUCUUGGAGGCUUCUGAAUAUGAAAGCUUCAGCCAAGGCCCACCUUAUAACCACUGCCACCAAUGGCCACAUACCAGUUCAGGUACUGCUAUAUAGGGAAAACAAGAUUGUAAAGUUUAUCGAUCCAGCAUGGAGAAUAUAUUUCUCUAUGGUCGGAUCUGUGUAUUGAUGAACUGAUUGGUAAUAAUUUGUUACUGUAGCCUGUAGGUACUUGUCAAAAAAAAAUUGUUACUGUAGGUUAAAGUCUC